rnacentral:sRNA from 1 species
GAUAUUAGGGUCAAAAGCCUUCUUCCACAGCAAGCUUGCUUGCUGGUGGGAGAAUGGCUUAAUGACCCGCCCCACAUGGAGCACGAAGUGGAGAUUUAUCUCCACGAAAGUGCGAAAUGUGGGAGGAGCGUGAGAGCGCGAAGCGCAAAGCGCUCCGG